ACAGAGUUUUUAGAAGUGUUUGGGCCGGUUUUGGGGUGUUUUUUUGGGGCCCAAUCAAAACACCCGAAAACACCUCAAAACACGUUUGGGCUGUUCGGUAGGCCGGUUUUGGCCCGUUUAGGCCCGACGAAACUCGGCGAAACCCGUCGGGCUGGAGUGGAACUAAAACGCUUCACCCCCCUCGCGUUUUCUCGCGGCUGGCGACGAGGGCGACGCGGCGACGAGGCAGGAAGACGACGCCGCGACGCUCCUGGCGCCGCCGGCCGGGAGCUCCUGCCGCCGCCCCUCAUCGUCAAGCUUGAUUCCUUUAAAGGUCCUGCCGCCGCCGACCUAGAGCUCCUGCCGCGCCCCUCCUCUCCGUCAAAGCUGGAGUCAUUCCUGAGUACCAUCCACCCCGCCGCCUCCUCUCCCUGGUACAUAUUGAUGAGCACGGCUUAGAGAAAACUUAUGUUCAUGCUGCCCUUUUGCUCUGCUUGAAGUUGUCAGAGACCAUGCCUGAAGAUAUUUACUGCUGGCACUUAGCUGAAAUAAUAGUGGAUAAUUAAUUGUGUAGCAAGUCUUUAGCUUCGGUGCCUGAAGAUAUUUGUUGUUGGAACUGAGCUGAAAUCUUAUUUAUUUGCUGUUAAGAUCUGAGCUGAAACCUUAUUUAUUUGUUGUUGGAACUGAGCUGAAACCUUAUUUAUUUGCUGUUAAGAUCUGAGCUGAACCAAUGAUUGAAGAUAUUUGAUGUUAAAUCUUAUUGAAUUUGUAUUUGAAACACUGUACCAAUUAUUGAAUUUUUAUCUAUUCAAUGUAAUUAUUGAAUUUCUAUCUA